CCUACGGGAGGCAGCAGUGAGGAAUAUUGGUCAAUGGACGAGAGUCUGAACCAGCCAAGUAGCGUGAAGGAUGACUGCCCUAUGGGUUGUAAACUUCUUUUAUAUGGGAAUAAAAUGUUCCACGUGUGGGAUUUUGUAUGUACCAUAUGAAUAAGGAUCGGCUAACUCCGUGCCAGCAGCCGCGGUAAUACGGAGGAUCCGAGCGUUAUCCGGAUUUAUUGGGUUUAAAGGGAGCGUAGGUGGAUUGUUAAGUCAGUUGUGAAAGUUUGCGGCUCAACCGUAAAAUUGCAGUUGAAACUGGCAGUCUUGAGUACAGAAGAGGUGGGCGGAAUUCGUGGUGUAGCGGUGAAAUGCUUAGAUAUCACGAAGAACUCCGAUUGCGAAGGCAGUUCACUGGACUGCAACUGACACUGAGGCUCGAAAGUGUGGGUAUCAAACAGGAUUAGAUACCCCAGUAGUC
rnacentral:rRNA from 1 species